rnacentral:rRNA from 1 species
GUGCCAGCAGCCGCGGUAAUACGUAGGGGGCGAGCGUUGUCCGGAAUCAUUGGGCGUAAAGAGCUCGUAGGCGGCUUAGUAAGUCGGCGGUGAAAGCCCGAGGCUCAACCUCGGGACUGCCGUCGAUACUGCUAUGGCUAGAGUCCGGUAGAGGAGAACGGAAUUCCCGGUGUAGCGGUGGAAUGCGCAGAUAUCGGGAGGAACACCCGUAGCGAAGGCGGUUCUCUGGGCCGGUACUGACGCUGAGGAGCGAAAGCGUGGGGAGCAAACAGGAUUAGAAACCCCAGUAGUCC